UACGGGAGGCAGCAGUGAGGAAUAUUGGUCAAUGGGCGAGAGCCUGAACCAGCCAAGUAGCGUGCAGGACGACUGCCCUAUGGGUUGUAAACUGCUUUUAUCAGGGAAUAAAGUGCGGCACGUGUGCCGUUUUGUAUGUACCUGAUGAAUAAGGACCGGCUAAUUCCGUGCCAGCAGCCGCGGUAAU
rnacentral:rRNA from 1 species